UUGACGGUACUCUACGAAUAAGGAUCGGCUAACUCCGUGCCAGCAGCGCGGUAAUACGGAGGANCCAAGCGUUAUCCGGAAUCAUUGGGUUUAAAGGGUCCGUAGGCGGGUUUGUAAGUCAGUGGUGAAAGUUUUCGGCUCAACCGGAAAAUUGCCAUUGAUACUGCAAGUCUUGAAUCAUUAUGAAGUGGUUAGAAUGUGUAGUGUAGCGGUGAAAUGCAUAGAUAUUACACAGAAUACCGAUUGCGAAGGCAGAUCACUAAUAAUGUAUUGACGCUAAGGGACGAAAGCGUGGGUAGCGAACAGGAUUAGAUACCCUGGUAGUCCACGCCGUAAACGAUGGUUACUAGCUGUUCGGACUUCGGUCUGAGUGGCUAAGCGAAAGUGAUAAGUAACCCACCUGGGGAGUACGUUCGCAAGAAUGAAACUCAAAGGAAUUGACGGGGGCCCGCACAAGCGGUGGAGCAUGUGGUUUAAUUCGAUGAUACGCGAGGAACCUUACCAGGGCUUAAAUGUAGAUUGACAGGUUUAGAGAUAGACUUUCCUUCGGGCAAUUUACAAGGUGCUGCAUGGUUGUCGUCAGCUCGUGCCGUGAGGUGUCAGGUUAAGUCCUAUAACGAGCGCAACCCCUGUUGUUAGUUGCCAGCGAGUCAUGUCGGGAACUCUAACAAGACUGCCGGUGCAAACCGCGAGGAAGGUGGGGAUGACGUCAAAUCAUCACGGCCCUUACGUCCUGGGCCACACACGUGCUACAAUGGUAGGUACAGAGAGCAGCCACUGGGUGACCAGGAGCGAAUCUAUAAAGCCUAUCACAGUUCGGAUCGGAGUCUGCAACUCGNCUCCGUGAAGCUGGAAUCGCUAGUAAUCGGAUAUCAGCCA
rnacentral:rRNA from 1 species